rnacentral:lncRNA from 1 species
GCACACCCCCGAGGCUGGCACGCACACCGGUCUCCUAGGGGACUGGCGCCUGGCCCUGCUUUUCAUCCUCUCAGGAGAUCACGUGUGGACACUGAGGCCCUUCCUCGAGCUCUUUAACCAAACCCAACCUCCCCAAUUCGCCGCCUUCCCCGCUCCCACAACCACACGUUCCCGUGUGAGGGCUUAUUGCCUCCAGCCAGCCAGCGUCCUUCGCCCCCACAUUCACGAGGUUUGGAGCCGGCCUCACCCGCGGAGGCGGACACCGCCCACCCGCGCGUGCGCACUACGCAGUCAUCCUGCGACCUCCAGAAUCCACCGGGGUGCAGCGAGGCUGUGGAAAGUCCCACCCAGAACGUGAGGUGAAGAAGGCUUGGGCUGCGCUGGUUCUGCUCUGUCCGGGUCGGAGAUGAACUGACCCGGGAGAGCAGCGGAGGGAUGUUUCUUUUGGCCAACAGUGGGGACUCACCUGCACGUUUUGCGAAGAGGCCCACAGUCCUUUGCGUGGCGCUCGGACUACAUUUCCCAACGGCCCCUGCACGCCCUGGGGGCUGUUCCAUGCGGUGUUGCGCCUGCGUAGCCGGCGGGCUGGCAGUGAGACUGACUGCGUCGGGGUUGAGACUGGGUGGAUGAGGCUCACCCCGGCGGGGAGAAGGGACGAGGAGGGGCGGACAGCGGAAGGUCCGGGAGUGUCCGCCAUAAAGUCGUUUGAGGUGACCGUUGCGUAAUUGUGAGUCUGUGAGAGAAGAUGUGAAGUAUGGCCUCGUCCCGGUCAUCUGGGCGUGCGGGUCCCGGGUUUUGAUCGCGCGUUUGUGUAGUUUUAACUUCUAGUCAUGGCGAAUGAUCGCAGGAGAGCACAGACUGGACCCUGCUACGAUCUCUCUUGGAGUGGAUCAGACUGAUGAUCACCAACAACCAACUCAUUCCCGGAUAAGGAAGAAGAGAGUGUCACCUACUUCAGUGUGGUUUCAACCCUACUUCUGCAUCUUAAAGACACUGUAUGGUUUCAGCAGUAGUGCCCCUGUUCAUUAGUCCCCCUGAUGUUUUCAUUCCUCAUCUCAUCUUUUUCUUAGCAGCAUUCAAUGAAUCCUUCAUUCUAGAAACACUCUAUAUCUUUGGUUUUCAUGAGACCAUUCUCACCUUGUUUUGUCCUGUGACUUUUUUGAAAAAAACAAAAACAAAAAACCCUUUUUUUCUUUUUAAAUUCUGGUAAAAAACACAAUGAAAAUUUGCUAUCUUAACCAUGUUGAAAUGUGCAGUUAGUAAAGUACAUUCACAUUGUGGUGCAAGCCAUCACUACCAUCCAUCACUAGAACCCUUUUCAUCUUGCAGAUCUGAAACUCUACCCAUUAAACGACUUCCCAUCUUCCCAUCCCCACAGCUCCUAGCAACCAACAUUCUACUUUCUCUAUCAGUUUGACUACUCUAGGUACCUCAUAUGAGUAGAAUCAUACAGCAUUUAUCCUUCUCUGCCUGGCUUAUUUCACUUGUAUAAUGUCCUCAAGGUUCAUUCAUGUUGUAGCAUGCAUCAGAACUUCCUCCCCUUUUAAAGGCUGGAUAAUAUUUCAUGGUAUGUUUAGAUCACAUUCUGUUUAUCCAUUCAUCCAUCAGUGAACACUUGUGCUCCUUCCAACUUUGGGCUGUUGGGUGUCCUGCCACUGUUGCUCCUAGUGCUCAAUCUCGUUUAUUCCCUCCUAAUCAAGUGUACAACGUUGGACACUGUGCAGGAUGAUGCCACUUCAUCUUGGAUGCUAAUCUGCCAUGUUGACUUCUGAUUAACCCCAGGCCCAGGAAUGCCUCAAGAUUUCUACUUUACUUACUGUUGCUUGUGUAAGCCAAGACAACCUUGAUGUUAUCAUAAACAUGUACUUACCUAAGUCCUGUCCUUUGGCAAAUUAUGGGCUAUGAGACACAGCAUUCUUGCCUUUCCCUGAGGGGUCAAUUUCAGCGAUCCUACACAUUCCUUCUGAAGCACUUAUGCUCUUUCUAUAUGGUAUGUAAGCUCUCGGUCUGGGGAGUAACAGUGCAGAGAUCUACCUGUCUUGUUGCCACAUGUUUCUAAACUUUCCAAUAAAUCACCUUCUACUGACAAACU